AGAGUUUGAUCCUGGCUCAGGAUGAACGCUGACAGAAUGCUUAACACAUGCAAGUCAACUUGAACUUCGGUUUGGGUGGCGGACGGGUGAGUAACGCGUAAAGAACUUGCCUCACAGAUAGGGACAACAUUUGGAAACGAAUGCUAAUACCUGAUAUUAUGAUUUUAGGGCAUCCUAGGAUUAUGAAAGCUACAUGCGCUGUGAGAGAGCUUUGCGUCCCAUUAGCUAGUUGGAGAGGUAACGGCCCACCAAGGCGAUGGUGGGUAGCCGGCCUGAGAGGGUGAUCGGCCACAAGGGGACUGAGACACGGCCCUUACUCCUACGGGAGGCAGCAGUGGGGAAUAUUGGACAAUGGACCAAGAGUCUGAUCCAGCAAUUCUGUGUGCACGAUGAAGUUUUUCGGAAUGUAAAGUGCUUUCAGUUGGGAAGAAAAAAAUGACGGUACCAACAGAAGAAGUGACGGCUAAAUACGUGCCAGCAGCCGCGGUAAUACGUAUGUCACAAGCGUUAUCCGGAUUUAUUGGGCGUAAAGCGCGUCUAGGUGGUUAUAUAAGUCUGAUGUGAAAAUGCAGGGCUCAACUCUGUAUUGCGUUGGAAACUGUGUAACUAGAGUACUGGAGAGGUAAGCGGAACUACAAGUGUAGAGGUGAAAUUCGUAGAUAUUUGUAGGAAUGCCGAUGGGGAAGCCAGCUUACUGGACAGAUACUGACGCUGAAGCGCGAAAGCGUGGGUAGCAAACAGGAUUAGAUACCCUGGUAGUCCACGCCGUAAACGAUGAUUACUAGGUGUUGGGGGUCGAACCUCAGCGCCCAAGCAAACGCGAUAAGUAAUCCGCCUGGG
rnacentral:rRNA from 1 species